rnacentral:tRNA from 5 species
AGGAGCGUAGCUCAACUGGUAGAGUAGCGGUCUCCAAAACCGUUGGUUGGGGGUUCGAGUCCUCUCGCUCCUGCCA